rnacentral:rRNA from 1 species
AACGAACGCUGGCGGCAUGCCUAACACAUGCAAGUCGAACGAGAUCUUCGGGUCUAGUGGCGCACGGGUGCGUAACGCGUGGGAAUCUGCCCUUUGGUUCGGAAUAACAGUUGGAAACGACUGCUAAUACCGGAUGAUGACGAAAGUCCAAAGAUUUAUCGCCAGAGGAUGAGCCCGCGUAGGAUUAGCUAGUUGGUGUGGUAAAGGCGCACCAAGGCGACGAUCCUUAGCUGGUCUGAGAGGAUGAUCAGCCACGCUGGGACUGAGACACGGCCCAGACUCCUACGGGAGGCAGCAGUGGGGAAUAUUGGACAAUGGGCGAGAGCCUGAUCCAGCAAUGCCGCGUGAGUGAUGAAGGCCUUAGGGUUGUAAAGCUCUUUUACCCGGGAUGAUAAUGACAGUACCGGGAGAAUAAGCUCCGGCUAACUCCGUGCCAGCAGCCGCCGUAA